AGCCAGGGGACAGGUGCUGCAUGGCUGUCGUCAGCUCGCGUCGUGAGAUGUUGGGUUAAGUCCCGCAACGAGCGCAACCCUUGUCUUUAAUUGCCAUCAUUCAGUUGGGCACUUUAAAGAGACUGCCGGUGUUAAACCGGAGGAAGGUGGGGAUGACGUCAAGUCCUCAUGGCCUUUAUGCCCAGGGCUACACACGUGCUACAAUGGGUGGUACAGAGGGCAGCGAAGCCGCAAGGCGAAGCGAAUCCCAAAAAAGCGGUCUCAGUUCGGAUUGUGGGCUGCAACCCGCCCGCAUGAAGCCGGAAUUGCUAGUAAUGGCAGGUCAGCAUACUGCCGUGAAUACGUUCCCGGGCCUU
rnacentral:rRNA from 1 species